rnacentral:rRNA from 1 species
CCGACAUGAGUAACGACAAUGGGUGUGAAAAACACCCACGCCGAAAGACCAAGGGUUCCUGCGCAACGUUAAUCGACGCAGGGUUAGUCGGUUCCUAAGGCGAGGCUGAAAAGCGUAGUCGAUGGGAAACAGGUUAAUAUUCCUGUACUUCUGGUUACUGCGAUGGAGGGACGGAGAAGGCUAGGCCAGCUUGGCGUUGGUUGUCCAAGUUUAAGGUGGUAGGCUGAAAUCUUAGGUAAAUCCGGGGUUUCAAGGCCGAGAGCUGAUGACGAGUCGUCUUUUAGAUGACGAAGUGGUUGAUGCCAUGCUUCCAAGAAAAGCUUCUAAGCUUCAGGUAACCAGGAACCGUACCCCAAACCGACACAGGUGGUCGGGUAGAGAAUACCAAGGCGCUUGAGAGAACUCGGGUGAAGGAACUAGGCAAAAUGGCACCGUAACUUCGGGAGAAGGUGCGCCGGCUAGGGUGAAGGAUUUACUCCGUAAGCUCUGGCUGGUCGAAGAUACCAGGCCGCUGCGACUGUUUAUUAAAAACACAGCACUCUGCAAACACGAAAGUGGACGUAUAGGGUGUGACGCCUCCCCGGUGCCGGAAGGUUAAUUGAUGGGGUUAGCGCAAGCGAAGCUCUUGAUCGAAGCCCCGGUAAACGGCGGCCGUAACGAUAACGGUCCUAAGGUAGCGAAAUUCCUUGUCGGGUAAGUUCCGACCUGCACGAAUGGCGUAACGAUGGCGGCGCUGUCUCCACCCGAGACUCAGUGAAAUUGAAAUCGCUGUGAAGAUGCAGUGUAUCCGCGGCUAGACGGAAAGACCCCGUGAACCUUUACUGUAGCUUUGCACUGGACUUUGAGCCUGCUUGUGUAGGAUAGGUGGGAGGCUUUGAAGCGUGGACGCCAGUUCGCGUGGAGCCAUCCUUGAAAUACCACCCUGGCAUGCUUGAGGUUCUAACUCUGGUCCGUAAUCCGGAUCGAGGACAGUGUAUGGUGGGCAGUUUGACUGGGGCGGUCUCCUCCUAAAGAGUAACGGAGGAGUACGAAGGUGCGCUCAGACCGGUCGGAAAUCGGUCGCAGAGUAUAAAGGCAAAAGCGCGCUUGACUGCGAGACAGACACGUCGAGCAGGUACGAAAGUAGGUCUUAGUGAUCCGGUGGUUCUGUAUGGAAGGGCCAUCGCUCAACGGAUAAAAGGUACUCCGGGGAUAACAGGCUGAUACCGCCCAAGAGUUCAUAUCGACGGCGGUGUUUGGCACCUCGAUGUCGGCUCAUCACAUCCUGGGGCUGAAGCCGGUCCCAAGGGUAUGGCUGUUCGCCAUUUAAAGUGGUACGCGAGCUGGGUUUAGAACGUCGUGAGACAGUUCGGUCCCUAUCUGCCGUGGACGUUUGAGAUUUGAGAGGGGCUGCUCCUAGUACGAGAGGACCGGAGUGGACGAACCUCUGGUGUUCCGGUUGUCACGCCAGUGGCAUUGCCGGGUAGCUAUGUUCGGAAAAGAUAACCGCUGAAAGCAUCUAAGCGGGAAACUUGCCUCAAGAUGAGAUCUCACUGGGAACUUGAUUCCCCUGAAGGGCCGUCGAAGACUACGACGUUGAUAGGCUGGGUGUGUAAGCGUUGUGAGGCGUUGAGCUAACCAGUACUAAUUGCCCGUGAGGCUUGACC